AAUGAACGCUGGCGGCAGGCCUAACACAUGCAAGUCGAACGGGUCCUUCGGGACUAGUGGCGGACGGGUGAGUAACGCGUGGGAACGUGCCCCUUGGUACGGAAUAGCCCCGGGAAACUGGGAGUAAUACCGUAUGUGGUCGAGAGACGAAAGAUUUAUCGCCAAGGGAUCGGCCCGCGUUGGAUUAGGUAGUUGGUGGGGUAAUGGCCUACCAAGCCGACGAUCCAUAGCUGGUUUGAGAGGAUGAUCAGCCACACUGGGACUGAGACACGGCCCAGACUCCUACGGGAGGCAGCAGUGGGGAAUCUUAGACAAUGGGGGAAACCCUGAUCUAGCCAUGCCGCGUGAUCGAUGAAGGCCUUAGGGUUGUAAAGAUCUUUCAGGUGGGAAGAUAAUGACUGUACCACCAGAAGAAGCCCCGGCUAACUCCGUG
rnacentral:rRNA from 1 species